rnacentral:rRNA from 1 species
UACAGAGGGUGCAAGCGUUGUUCGGAAUUAUUGGGCGUAAAGGGCGCGUAGGCGGUGUCGCAAGUCGGUAGUGAAAUCUCCAGGCUCAACUUGGAGUCUGCUGCCGAAACUGCGGUGCUAGAGUGUGGGAGAGGUGCGUGGAAUUCCCGGUGUAGCGGUGAAAUGCGUAGAUAUCGCUUGGAACGCCAAUGGUGAAAACAGCUUGCUGGGGGUGUGCUGACGCUGAGACACGAAAGCCAGGGGAGCAAACGGG